rnacentral:lncRNA from 1 species
UACUGCCGUGCUGUGCUGUGUCCUCAAGGACCCACACACCUCCUCCCAUAAUUCUGGGAAGAGGACCAUGCCUUCGCUCGAAAACCCAGUCAACAGCAAGUCUCCUUCACUAGGGUCUUUGUGUAUGGUCAAAGCAGGGCUCCUUUUCCUCACUACUAUCUAAGUGUCUGUCUCUUCAAACCCCCCCCCCAAUUUUUUUUUUGAUGUGAGUAUGGUUUGAACUCAGGGCUUCACUCUUGCAAGGCAGGCACUCCAUCGCUUGAGCCACACCCCCAGUCCAUUUUGUUCUGGCUAUUUUGGAGAUGGGGUCUCCUGAACUAUUUGCCUGGACUAACCUUGAAUCUUGAUCCACCUGAUUUCAGCCUCUCAAGUAGCCAGGCGUGAGCCACCAGCGCCUUACCCUAUGGAAUAUUGCCUGUGACCCUCACCAGCUGGAGCUGCGCGCUCUUUCCUCUUCUCCCCAGCCCCAGGCAUCAUGACAGUCGUUUUCUGGGCAAGGCCCUCACCAACAGUUAGCCACAGUCUGGGAGCCUCAGCAAGCCUUGGCAGACUCCCAUGGUUUGCCACCACCCUCUGCGCCCUGCCUGUCUACUAACAUGGG